ACUGUUGACUGCGGGUUACAUGGGGUCUCCAGGGGUCCGCUAGUUCAAGAAUCCGCGGACGUCCCGAGUCGACCCAGCGAACUUAACCAGGAGAACCUCUCUGGUGCACUCAACUCAAGACCAGCUCGUUCUUCAGUCCUCAGAAACAGACGAAAACGGUCACUCUUCCCAGAGAUCCCCAGAAACAGCACGCCCCAAAUUACAGACUUCUUCCCGAAAAGAAAAAGGACCCUGGAGUCCAAGCAGGAUGACCGGAGCUCGCUUCAAGCGGGCACAUCCACCAGCAUUGAAGUAACGCCGCGUAAAACAAUAAGAUGAUGUUUGCACUUCAUGCAGCAGUCCACCUGUGUUUAUCUGCAGAGCGGAUGAAAGGAAACAAGGGGACGACACUUUUACUCUUUCUCAACUCAUGUAGCAAUAAUGGCUCCGCCA